rnacentral:rRNA from 2 species
CUAAUACAUGCAAGUCGAACGAACUCUGGUAUUGAUUGGUGCUUGCAUCAUGAUUUACAUUUGAGUGAGUGGCGAACUGGUGAGUAACACGUGGGAAACCUGCCCAGAAGCGGGGGAUAACACCUGGAAACAGAUGCUAAUACCGCAUAACAACUUGGACCGCAUGGUCCGAGUUUGAAAGAUGGCUUCGGCUAUCACUUUUGGAUGGUCCCGCGGCGUAUUAGCUAGAUGGUGAGGUAACGGCUCACCAUGGCAAUGAUACGUAGCCGACCUGAGAGGGUAAUCGGCCACAUUGGGACUGAGACACGGCCCAAACUCCUACGGGAGGCAGCAGUAGGGAAUCUUCCACAAUGGACGAAAGUCUGAUGGAGCAACGCCGCGUGAGUGAAGAAGGGUUUCGGCUCGUAAAACUCUGUUGUUAAAGAAGAACAUAUCUGAGAGUAACUGUUCAGGUAUUGACGGUAUUUAACCAGAAAGCCACGGCUAACUACGUGCCAGCAGCCGCGGUAAUACGUAGGUGGCAAGCGUUGUCCGGAUUUAUUGGGCGUAAAGCGAGCGCAGGCGGUUUUUUAAGUCUGAUGUGAAAGCCUUCGGCUCAACCGAAGAAGUGCAUCGGAAACUGGGAAACUUGAGUGCAGAAGAGGACAGUGGAACUCCAUGUGUAGCGGUGAAAUGCGUAGAUAUAUGGAAGAACACCAGUGGCGAAGGCGGCUGUCUGGUCUGUAACUGACGCUGAGGCUCGAAAGUAUGGGUAGCAAACAGGAUUAGAUACCCUGGUAGUCCAUACCGUAAACGAUGAAUGCUAAGUGUUGGAGGGUUUCCGCCCUUCAGUGCUGCAGCUAACGCAUUAAGCAUUCCGCCUGGGGAGUACGGCCGCAAGGCUGAAACUCAAAGGAAUUGACGGGGGCCCGCACAAGCGGUGGAGCAUGUGGUUUAAUUCGAAGCUACGCGAAGAACCUUACCAGGUCUUGACAUACUAUGCAAAUCUAAGAGAUUAGACGUUCCCUUCGGGGACAUGGAUACAGGUGGUGCAUGGUUGUCGUCAGCUCGUGUCGUGAGAUGUUGGGUUAAGUCCCGCAACGAGCGCAACCCUUAUUAUCAGUUGCCAGCAUUAAGUUGGGCACUCUGGUGAGACUGCCGGUGACAAACCGGAGGAAGGUGGGGAUGACGUCAAAUCAUCAUGCCCCUUAUGACCUGGGCUACACACGUGCUACAAUGGAUGGUACAACGAGUUGCGAACUCGCGAGAGUAAGCUAAUCUCUUAAAGCCAUUCUCAGUUCGGAUUGUAGGCUGCAACUCGCCUACAUGAAGUCGGAAUCGCUAGUAAUCGCGGAUCAGCAUGCCGCGGUGAAUACGUUCCCGGGCCUUGUACACACCGCCCGUCACACCAUGAGAGUUUGUAACACCCAAAGUCGGUGGGGUAACCUUUUAGGAACCAGCCGCCUAAGGUGGGACAGAUGAUUAGGGUGAAGUCGUAACA